rnacentral:rRNA from 1 species
UACGUAUGGUGCAAGCGUUAUCCGGAUUUACUGGGUGUAAAGGGAGCGCAGGCGGUGCGCCAAGUCUGAUGUGAAACCCCGGGGCUCAACCCCGGGCAUGCAUUGGAAACUGGCGGGCUGGAGUGCCGGAGAGGUAAGCGGAAUUCCUAGUGUAGCGGUGAAAUGCGUAGAUAUUAGGAGGAACACCAGUGGCGAAGGCGGCUUACUGGACGGCAACUGACGCUGAGGCUCGAAAGCGUGGGGAGCAAACAGG